rnacentral:rRNA from 1 species
UACGGAGGGGACUAGCGUUGUUCGGAAUUACUGGGCGUAAAGCGUGCGCAGGCGGUUCGUUGUGUCGGCGGUGAAAGCCCCGGGCUCAACCUGGGAAUGGCCGUUGAAACUGGCGAACUGGAGUGUGGCAGAGGGGGGUGGAAUUCCGCGUGUAGCAGUGAAAUGCGUAGAGAUGCGGAGGAACACCGAUGGCGAAGGCAGCCCCCUGGGCUAACACUGACGCUCAGGCACGAAAGCGUGGGGAGCAAACAGG